AGCGAACGCUGGCGGCAGGCCUAACACAUGCAAGUCGAACGAACCUUUCGGGGUUAGUGGCGGACGGGUGAGUAACACGUGGGAACGUGCCUUUAGGUUCGGAAUAACUCCGGGAAACUUGUGCUAAUACCGAAUGUGCCCUUCGGGGGAAAGAUUUAUCGCCUUUAGAGCGGCCCGCGUCUGAUUAGCUAGUUGGUUGAGGUAAUGGCUCACCAAGGCGACGAUCAGUAGCUGGUCUGAGAGGAUGAUCAGCCACAUUGGGACUGAGACACGGCCCAAACUCCUACGGGAGGCAGCAGUGGGGAAUCUUGCGCAAUGGGCGAAAGCCUGACGCAGCCAUGCCGCGUGAAUGAUGAAGGUCUGAGGAUUGUAAAAUUCUUUCACCGGGGACGAUAAUGACGGUACCCUGAGAAGAAGCCCCGGCUAACUUCGUG
rnacentral:rRNA from 1 species